UGUUGAAACACCAGUCCCCAGACGAUCACCAAAGUUAAGCAACAUCAAGCCUGGUCAGUACCUAGAUGGGUGACCUCCGGGGAAUACCAGGUGCUGUAAG